AUGUCGAUGUUGGGGCAUUUUUUGAAAAAAUUCUUGAACCUCUCCCAUGCCUCAGGAUAGCUCUCGAGUUCUUUUUGCUUAAAAAUGUGGACGUCGUUCCUAAUUU
rnacentral:snoRNA from 1 species